UACGUAGGGGGCGAGCGUUGUCCGGAAUCAUUGGGCGUAAAGCGCGCGUAGGCGGCCCUGUAAGUCCGUUGUGAAAGUCAAAGGCUCAACCUUUGAAAGCCGAUGGAUACUGCAGGGCUAGAGUCCGGAAGAGGCGAGUGGAAUUCCUGGUGUAGCGGUGGAAUGCGCAGAUAUCGGGAGGAACACCAGUGGCGAAGGCGACUUCCUGGCCUGUUCUUGACGCUGAGGCGCGAAAGCUAGGGGAGCAAACGGG
rnacentral:rRNA from 1 species